AGCAGAGUGGCCUAGUGGAUAAAGCAUGGGCUGGGAGUCAGAGGACCUGGAUUCUAAUCCCAGCUCUGCCA
rnacentral:tRNA from 1 species